CUCGGGAGGCAGCAGUAGGGAAUAUUGCGCAAUGGGGGCAACCCUGACGCAGCAAUGCCGCGUGAGUGAAGAAGGCCUUCGGGUCGUAAAGCUCUUUUAUGGGGGAAGAUGAUGACGGUACCCCAUGAAUAAGCACCGGCUAACUACGUGCCAGCAGCCGCGGUAAUACGUAGGGUGCGAGCGUUGUUCGGAAUUACUGGGCGUAAAGGGCGUGCAGGCGGAUUGGCAAGCCGGAGGUGAAAGCCCGGGGCUCAACCCCGGAGGGUCUUUCGGAACUGCCAGUCUUGAGAGGGUCAGGGGCCAGCGGAAUUCCUGGUGUAGAGGUGAAAUUCGUAGAGAUCAGGAGGAACACCGGCGGCGAAAGCGGCUGGCUGGGGCCACUCUGACGCUGAGGCGCGAAAGCGUGGGGAGCAAACAGGAUUAGAUACCCUGGUAGUCCACGCCGUAAACGAUGGGCACUAAGCGUCCGACGGGUUCGACCCUGUUGGGUGCUGCAGUUAACGCGUUAAGUGCCCCGCCUGGGGAGUACGGUCGCAAGACUAAAACUCAAAGGAAUUGACGG
rnacentral:rRNA from 1 species